AUUGAACGCUGGCGGCACGCCUAACACAUGCAAGUCGAGCGGUAGCAUGUUUAGUAGCAAUACUAAAUGAUGACGAGCGGCGGACGGGUGAGUAAUACGUAGGAACCUACCCUUAAGCGGGGGACAACCAAGGGAAACUUUGGCUAAUACCGCAUAAACUCGCAAGAGAAAAGCUGCCCGCAAGGGUGGCACUUAAGGAGGGGCCUGCGUCCGAUUAGCUAGUUGGUAGGGUAAAGGCCUACCAAGGCGAUGAUCGGUAACUGGUCUGAGAGGACGGCCAGUCACACUGGGACUGAGACACGGCCCAGACUCCUACGGGAGGCAGCAGUGGGGAAUAUUGGACAAUGGGGGCAACCCUGAUCCAGCGAUGCCGCGUGGGUGAAGAAGGCC
rnacentral:rRNA from 1 species